rnacentral:rRNA from 1 species
AGAGUUUGAUCCUGGCUCAGAAUGAACGCUGGCGGCGUGCUUAACACAUGCAAGUCGCACGAGAACGCUUCAGCUUGCUGAAGUUAGUAAAGUGGCGCACGGGUGAGUAACGCGUGGGUAAUCUACCCCCGAAUUGGGGAUAACAUUGCGAAAGUGAUGCUAAUACCGAAUAAUAUCUUAAGAACCUCGGUUUUUAAGAUCAAAGGUGGCCUCUACAUGAAAGCUUCUGUUUGGGGAUGAGCCCGCGUACCAUUAGCUUGUUGGUAGGGUAAUGGCCUACCAAGGCUACGAUGGUUAGCUGGUCUGAGAGGAUGAUCAGCCACACUGGAACUGACACACGGUCCAGACUCCUACGGGAGGCAGCAGUGAGGAAUCUUGCGCAAUGGGGGAAACCCUGACGCAGCAACGCCGCGUGAGUGAUGAAGGCUUUCGGGUCGUAAAGCUCUGUCAAGUGGGAAGAACCCACAUGGUGAUAAUAUCGCCAUGUGUUGACGGUACCACUGAAGGAAGCACCGGCUAACUCCGUGCCAGCAGCCGCGGUAAUACGGGGGGUGCAAGCGUUAUUCGGAAUUACUGGGCGUAAAGAGCGCGUAGGCGGUCUUUUAAGUCAGGUGUGAAAGCCCGGGGCUCAACCCCGGAAGUGCACUUGAAACUAAGGGACUUGAGUAUGGGAGAGGGAAGUGGAAUUCCUGGUGUAGCGGUGAAAUGCGUAGAUAUCAGGAGGAACACCGGUGGCGAAGGCGACUUCCUGGACCAAUACUGACGCUGAGGCGCGAAGGCGUGGGGAGCAAACAGGAUUAGAUACCCUGGUAGUCCACGCAGUAAACGGUGAACACUAGGUGUAGCGGGUAUUGACCCCUGCUGUGCCGCAGCAAACGCAUUAAGUGUUCCGCCUGGGGAGUACGACCGCAAGGUUAAAACUCAAAGGAAUUGACGG